rnacentral:rRNA from 1 species
AUGGGGAACGCGUCGUCGAUGCUGACGCAGUACGACAUCGAGGAGGUGCAGGAGCACUGCAGCUACCUAUUCUCGCAGCAGGAGAUCGUGUCGCUGUACGAGCGAUUCUGCCAGCUCGACCGCAGCGCCAAGGGCUUCGUCGCCGAGGACGAGUUCCUCUCCAUCCCGGAGUACUCCACCNNNNNNNNNNNNCAGAGGCUGCUACGUAUGGUUGAUGGAUUGAACUUCAAGGAAUUUGUUUCUUUUCUCUCUACCUUCAGCGCAAGGGCCAGCCUUCAGCAAAAGAUUGAGUUCAUAUUUAAGGUGUAUGACAUUGAUGGCAAGGGGAAAGUAAGCUUCAAGGACCUGGUAGAGGUUUUACGGGACCUAACGGGCUCAUCCAUGUCAGAGAAACAAAGAGAGCAAGUACUAACAAAGGUGUUGGAAGAAGCUGGGUAUACACGGGAUUCCACUCUAUCAUUAGAAGAUUUUGUGACGAUCAUCGGCCACACUGGCCUGAAGAUGGAGGUGGAAGUGCCCAUCGACUAG